GGAGGUAUGGUUUAGUGGUUACAAGCACUAGCUGCUCUUCUAGAGGACCUGGGUUCGAUCCCAGUACCCACA
rnacentral:tRNA from 1 species